ACGGCUCAGUAACACGUGGACAACCUGCCCUUAGGACGGGGAUAAACCCGGGAAACUGGGUAUAAUACCCGAUAGGUCUCGAUUGCUGGAAUGCAUCGAGAUUUAAAGCUCCGGCGCCUAAGGAUGGGUCUGCGGCCUAUCAGGUAGUAGUGGGUGUAGCGUACCUACUAGCCUACGACGGGUACGGGUUGUGAGAGCAAGAGCCCGGAGAUGGAUUCUGAGACACGAAUCCAGGCCCUACGGGGUGCAGCAGGCGCGAAAACUUUACAAUGCUGGCAACAGCGAUAAGGGAACCUCGAGUGCCAGGUUACAAAUCUGGCUGUCGAGAUGCCUAAAAAGCAUUUCAUAGCAAGGGCCGGGCAAGACCGGUGCCAGCAGCCGCGGUAA
rnacentral:rRNA from 1 species